GGCUCAGGGAAUCGCUGGCGGCAUGCUUCACACAUGCAAGUCGAACGCUCUUCUUGGCUUCGGCCAAGAGGGGAGUGGCGCACGGUUGCACGUAGCGCGUGGGAACCUGCCUUCUUGUGGGGGAUAACCGAGGGAAACUUCGGCUAAUACCGCAUACGCCGGUGGUAACACCGGGAAAGAUUUAUCGCAGGAAGAGGGGCCCGCGUCGGAUUAGCUAGUUGGUGGGGUAACGGCCUACCAAGGCAGUGAUCCGUAGCUGGUCUGAGAGGAUGAUCAGCCACACUGGGACUGAGACACGGCCCAGACUCCUACGGGAGGCAGCAGUGGG
rnacentral:rRNA from 1 species